rnacentral:rRNA from 1 species
GACGGAGGAGGCAAGCGUUAUCCGGAAUUAUUGGGCGUAAAGCGUCCGUAGGUGGCGAUUCAAGUCUGUUGUCAAAUACAGUGGCUCAACUACUGAAGGGCAAUGGAACUGAGUUGCUAGAGUGCAACAGGGGUAGAGGGAAUUCCGGUGUAGCGGUGAAAUGCGUAGAUAUUGGGAAGAACACCGGUGCGAAAGCGCCUGCUGGGUCUGCACUGACACUGAGGACGAAAGCGUAGGGAGC